CCAGAAAGAAAUUAGAAAAAGAUCAAGAAAAGCAAAUUGACGAAUGCAUCAACUGUUGCUGUGUGGCGUCUGUUGCUUGAAGCGAAUUCAGACGGUCGCGUGGUGAAAAAAUUGAGCAGAAACCACUCAGCCAAAAGCCUUGUGUGAGAGGAAGAGGACCAGGCGUCGUCAGUUAAGACUCUUCGGUCAGGUUUUUUUUUCUGAUUGGAAAAAAAAAAAAGAAAUAUCAUCAGAUUGGAUUCAACGAUGGCGAGCUAACCCAGAGUGAUUUGAAGAACCAGUAACAUCGAAAAUUCUGGAAUAACAGACGGACUGUCUGUGUGGUAGGAUUGUAUCAGUCAUCGGACUGAUACCUACAAUUUUUUUCUUCCAAAGAGUGUACUCCAACGAACAUUUGAAGAAAAAAAAAAAAACUAUUGCAAUAGAA